UACGAAGGCAGCAGUGGGGAAUAUUGCACAAUGGGCGCAAGCCUGAUGCAGCCAUGCCGCGUGUAUGAAGAAGGCCUUCGGGUUGUAAAGUACUUUCAGUCGUGAGGAAGGUGUUAAGGUUAAUAACCUUAGCAAUUGACGUUAGCGACAGAAGAAGCACCGGCUAACUCCGUGCCAGCAGCCGCGGUAAUACGGAGGGUGCGAGCGUUAAUCGGAAUUACUGGGCGUAAAGGGCACGCAGGCGGUUAAUUAAGUUGGAUGUGAAAUCCCCGGGCUUAACCUGGGAAUGGCAUUCAAGACUGGUUAGCUAGAGUCUUGUAGAGGGGGUUAGAAUUCCAUGUGUAGCGGUGAAAUGCGUAGAGAUGUGGAGGAAUACCGGUGGCGAAGGCGGCCCCUGGGACAAAGGACUGACGCUCAUGUGCGAAAGCGUGGGGAGCAAAC
rnacentral:rRNA from 1 species